GUCAUUAAGAAGUAACAAUAAGCUCCACCCACAACCCAAGCUUUGACCACUUGUGAAGCUGAAUAAAAUGCCAGACUGCGACAGAAUUCACAGUAGACUGUGCAGAGCUUCAUAAUGAAUGUUUGUCUCUUUUUUUGCCUGCUUUGAUCAGCAGUGAAAUAGUUAACAAAACUGACAUGUGAGGAGGGCACCGUACACAACUGAACUGGUUUCUGUGAGCUGGGGCAAAGGAUUCACCCACACAUGGCCCUGCAGUGGUUCCCCUGGGAGUUGAUGGAGUUACUCUGGAUUUACGUCAGUGCAACUAAGGUAGCUUUAGUGGUGGAUUGAUGGACCUGGAGACUGAAGUUUCAGUAUAACCCAGACCAAAUACCAACCUGAUUUCCUCCCUUCAUCCUUAUCAAUAUUCCACAGUCCUGUUCUAGAGGUGCUGGACCUGAUUCUCUGCUCACUUAUGCUGAUUCUGCAUGUGGGGUGACUCUAUUGACUACACAGGAGAUAGUCCUGAUUUACACUUGUAAAUUAAGGUGGGACUGGGUCCUCCCCUAAAACUUAGUAUGAAGUCAUAGUUCAGGCUCCUAUUCUGUCUUUCACCUUCCAACUCAAGUAGCCAGCACCAAAUCUAGUCAAAUUUUGAGAAGCCCUCCUAAAGUGCACCCAAAAUAUGUCAUGAGCAUGCAACACUUUCAUGUGUUGGUGCAAAAUAGGUAACUUCAUGCAUAAAACAGGAGUGUGAGUAUCUGUUUUCUGAAUUUCUCUGUCAUGCGGCUAACUCUCUUUCUUGCUGGUUUUUCUGCCACGUUUUCUUUGGAAGCAUGUGAAAGCUUCUUAUUGAACCCUGAGGAUCAACACGUUGUAUGAGCAGGGACAGAGGAGAUCUGCGCAGCUAUAAAACUUGCAAACUCUGCAAGAACCCUUCUGAAGGCUCAGGAAAAGGGCAACCCAGCUCCAGGAAAAUAGAGCAGGAGGACUGCACUGAGAUUGGCAUAAGCCGCUUAACAAGACUGAGCCAAGAAAAUAAUAUAGACUUUGGUUAUUUUCCCAGGAGCUCUUCAGAAGGCAGUGAUUUUUUGACAAAUUGUGCAAGUCCUAGAGAUGGGUCUAUUGUUGUCAGGGCAUUUUUCUAUUACCAUUUUAUACAGCUUCACAACUCUUCCUAUCUUAGCAAUUCUAACAAUAAAAAAUCAUCAGAUUUUCUUUUGCUAUUUUAAAUGGCUAUUGUUCUACUGUAUUUAAUCAUUAAGGAACCAGAAGGGACAUAUUUUAGUGAAAAAUGUUCAUUCGACCCUCUAGAAACAGCAACUUGAAGCUUUAUAACAGGCUAUCCAAACUGUUUGGACAGAAAUAAAGCAGCGUGUUUGAAGCACAUGUUCAUCUUGGAUUGUUUAUGUUUAUGGCCUAAGUUCUUUGCAGUGCAUUGUUAUUUAUGACAACCGAAUGUAUAAUAUUUUUGAUUCAACACUACUUUAGUUCUACA